rnacentral:rRNA from 1 species
CACCUGUUCUCAUUCCGAACACAGAAGUUAAGCUCCCCAGCGGCGAUUAUACUGCGAAAGUGGGAAACUAGCACGGUGCCGAAU